UGGGACGAACACAAGGACACUCGAAACUAAGGGUAGAUGUAAACCUAACGUUAUGUCUGAAGCUUUGAUUACCACUUGAGGAGAAUAAGUGUGGCCCGAUCUUCCGAAAGUUUCUGGCAACUAUCGAUUUGGUGGAAAAGAGACACAAAUCAAUCCAGCUUGCGAACAACACGGUUCGAAACCUGCAAUUCUUUUUAUUUUUUUUUAUAUUUUUCUUUUACUUAGGAGCACUUAAGAAGUAACCACAGGAAAUUUGAGCUUGAACAAGUGAAAGACGUGGCCUGUGGAAACUUUUGAAGAUUGCGAAAAAUAUAAAGAAAAUUUUAGGAGGUGAAAACUCAAACUUCAGAGGCGAAUUUGGGGAUUUUAAAUUUGUCGAACCCACAACAGCGGGCAUAGACAGACCCAAAAAUUUUUUCUGAUCGAUUUUGAUAUAUGGAACGUCAAAAUCAGAGUUCGUAUGCGAAAGUUAUGGCUGUUUUACGAACGGACUCCGAAUUAGAGGACAAAACAGUCCGGAAGUGGGAAAAUUUGCGGCGGUGGCUAUAAAUUGAUGGAAACGUUGGGAAGAAACACACAAAUUGGACUCUAACAAGAUCUAACCAGUAACAAGACCUCGACUAGGACACAAACUCAACACUACGGACUCUGAAACUGAAAUAUGCAAAGGCUAUGGCGCGGAUGGGUUGUAGGACAUGAAAACAAUAUGGCACCAGACUUAUGGGACGAACACAAGGACACUCAAAACUAAGGGUAGAUGUGAAUCUAACAUUAUGUCUGAAGCUUUGAUUACCACUUGAGGAGAAUAAGUGUGGCCCGAUCUUUCGAAAGUUUCUGGCAACUAUCGAUUUGGUGGAAAAGAGACACAAAUCAAUGCAGCUUGCGAACAACACGGUUCGAAACCUGCAAUUCUUUUUAUUUUUUUUUUGAUAUUUAUAUUUUACUUAGGAGCACUCAAGAAGUAACCACAGGAAAUUUGAGCUUGAACAAGAGAAAGACGUGGCCUGUGGAAACUUUUGAAGAUUGCGAAAAAUAUAAAGAAAACUAACUCAAACUUCAGAUGCGAAUUUGGGGAUUGUAAAUUUGUUGAACCCGCCAAUGGAGGGCAUAGACAGACAUCGAUUUUGAUAUAUGGAACGUCAAAAUCGGAGUUCGUAUGCGAAAGUUAUGGCUGUUUUUCGAACGGACUCCGAAUUAGAGGACAAAACAGUCCGGAAGUGGGAAAAUUUGCGGCGGUGGCUAUAAAUUGAUGGAAACGUUGGGAAGAAACAUACAAAUUGGACUCUAACAAGACCUAACCAGUAACAAGACCUCGCGCAGGACACAAACUCAACACUACGGACUCUGAAACUGAAAUAUGCAAAGGCUAUGGCGCGGAUGGGUUGUAGGACAUGAAAACAAUAUAGCACUAGACAUAUGGGACGAACACAAGGACACUCGAAACUAAGGAUAGAUGUGAACCUAACGGUACGUCUGAAGCUUUGAUUACCACUUGAGGAGAACAAGUGUGGCCCGAUCUUCCGAAAGGUUCUGGUAACUAUCGAUUUGGUGGAAACGAGACCCAAAUCAAUCCACCUUGCGAACAACACGAUUUGAAACCCUACAAUUCUUUUUAUUUUUUUAUUUGAUAUUUUUCUUUUACUUAGGAGCACCGAAGAAGUAGCCACAGGAAAUUUGAGCUUAAACAAGUGAAAGACGUGGCCUGUGGAAUUUUUUGUAGAUUGCAAAAAAUAUGAAAAUAAACUUUAGGAGGUGAAAACUCAAACUUCAGAGGCGAAUUUGGGGAUUCUAAAUUUGUCGAACCCGCCUUUGGGGGAUAGACAGACCCAAAAAAUUUUUCUAAUUGAUUUUGAUAUAUGGAACGUCAAAAUCGGAGUUCGUAUGCGAAAGUUAUGGCUGUUUUACGAACGGACUCCGAAUUAGAGGACAAAACAGUCCGGAAGUGGGAAAAAUUUGCGGCGGUGGUUAUAAAUUGAUGGAAACGGUGGGAAGAAACACACAAAUUGGACUCUAACAAGACCUAACCAGUAACAAGACCUCGACCAGGACACAAACUCAAUACUAUGGACUCUGAAACUGAAAUAUGCAAAGGCUAUGGCGCGGAUGGGUUGUAGGACAUGAAAACAAUAUGGCACCAGACUUAUGGGACGAACACAAGGACACUCGAAACUAAGGGUAGAUGUGAACCUAACGGUAUGUCUGAAGCUUUGAUUACCACUUGAGGAGAAUAAGUGUGGCCCGAUCUUCCGAAAGGUUCUGGUAACUAUCGAUUUGGUGGAAAAGAGACACAAAUCAAUAUAGCUUGCGAACAACACGGUUCGAAACCUACCAUUCUUUUUAUUUUUUUGAUAUUUUUCUUUUACUUAGGCGCACUCAAGAAGUAACCACAGGAAAUUUGAGCUUAAACAAGUGAAAGACGUGGCCUAUGGGAUUUUUUGAAGAUUGCGAAAAAUAUAAAAAAAACUUUAGGAGGUCAAAACUCAAACUUCAGGGGCGAAUUUGGGGAUUCUAAAAUUAUUGAACCCGCCUCUAGCAGAGAUAGAUAGAUCCAAAAAUUUGUUCUGAUCGAUUUUGAUAUAAGGAACGUCAAAAUCGGAGUUCGUAUGCGAAAGUUAUGGCUGUUUUACGAACGGACUCCGAAUUAGAGGACAAAACCGUCCGGAAGUGGGAAAAAUUUGCGGUGGUGGCUAGAAAUUGAUGGAAACGGUGGAAAAAAAACACACAAACUGGACUUAAACAAGACCUAACUAGUAACGAGACCUCGACCAGGACAAAAACUAAAAACUACGGAUUCUGAAACUGAAAAUAUGCAAAGGCUAUAGCGCGGAUGGGUUGUAGGACAUGAAAACAAUAUGACACUAGACUUAUGAGACGAACACAAGGACACUCGAAACUAAGGGUAGAUGUGAACCUAACGGUAUGUCUGAUGCUUUGAUUACCACUUGAGGAGAACAAGUGUGGCCCGAUCUUCCAAAAGGUUCUGGAAACUAUCGAUUUCGUGGAAACGAGACACAAAUCAAUCCAGCUUGCGAACAACACGAUUCGAAACCCUACAAUUCUUUUUAUUUUUUUUGAUAUUUUUCUUUUACUUAGGAGCACUCAAGAAGUAACCAUAGGAAAUUUGAGCUUAAACAAGUGAAAGACGUGAGCUGUGGAAACUUUUGAAAAUUGCAAAAAAUAUAAAAAAACUUUUAGAGGUGAAAACACAAACUUCAGAGGCGAAUUUGGGGAUUCUAAAAUUGUCAAACCCGCACACGGCGGGGAUAGACAGAUCCAAAAUUUUGGUUUCAUCGAUUUUGAUUUAUGGAACGUCAAAAUCGGAGUUCGUAUGCGAAAAUUAUGGCUGUUUUACGAACGGACACCGAAUUAGAAGACAAAACGGUCCGGAAGUGGGAAAAAUUUGCGGCGGUGGCUAGAAAUUGAUGGAAACGGUGGGAAGAAACACACAAAUUGGACUCUAACAAGACCUAACCAGUAACAAGAUCUCGACCAGGACACAAACUCAACACUACGGACUCUGAAACUGAAAUAUGCAAAGGUUAUGGCGCGGAUGAGUUGUAGGACAUGAAAACAAUAUAGCACUAGACUUAUGCGACAAACACAAGGACACUCGAAACUAAGGAUAAAUGUGAACCUAACGGUACAUCUGAAGCUUUGAUUACCACUUGAGGAGAACAAGUGUGGCCCGAUCUUCCGAAAGGUUCUGGUAACUAUCGAUUUGGUGGAAACGAGACCCAAAUCAAUCCACCUUGCGAACAACACGAUUCGAAACCCUACAAUUCUUUUUAUUUUUUUUAUUUGAUAUUUUUAUUUUACUUAGGAGCACCGAAGAAGUAGCAACAGGAAAUUUGAGCUUGAACAAGUGAAAGACGUGGCCUGUGGAAUUUUUUGUAGAUUGCGAAAAAUAUGAAAAUAAACUUUAGGAGGUGAAAACUCAAACUUUAGAGGCGAAUUUGGGUAUUCUAAAUUUGUCGAACCCGGCUUUCGCGGGGAUAGACAGACCCAAAAAAAUUUUCUGAUUGAUUUUGAUAUAUGGAACGUCAAAAUCGCAGUUCGUAUGCGAAAGUUAUGGCUGUUUUACGAACGGACUCCGAAUUAGAGGACAAAACAGUCCGGAAGUGGGAAAAAUUUGCGGCGGUGGCUAUAAAUUGAUGGAAACGGUGGGAAGAAACACACAAAUUGGACUCUAACAAGACCUAACCAGUAACAAGACCUCGACCAGGACACAAACUCAACACUACGGACUCUGAAACUGAAAUAUGCAAAGGCUAUGGCGCAGAUGGGUUGUAGGACAUGAAAACAGUAUGGCACCAGACUUAUGGGACGAACACAAGGACACUCGAAAUUAAGGGUAGAUGUGAACCUAACUGUAUGUCUGAAGCUUUGAUUACCACUUGAGGAGAAUAUGUGUGGCCCAAUCUUCCGAAUGGUUCCGGUAACUAUCGAUUUGGUGGAAAAGAGACACAAAUCAAUCCAGCUUGCGAACAACACGGUUCGAAACCUGCAAUUCUUUUUAUUUUUGUUGAUAUUUUUCGUUUACUUAGGAGCACUCAUGAAGUAACCACAGGAAAUUUGAGCUUAAACAAGUGAAAGACGUGGCCUGUGGAAUUUUUUGAAGAUUACGAAAAAUAUAAAAAAACUUUAGGAGGUCAAAACUCAAACUUCAGGGGCAAAUUUGGGGAUUCUAAAAUUAUUGAACCCGCCUCUAGCAGAGAUAGAUAGAUCCAAAAAUUUGUUCUGAUUGAUUUUGAUAUAUGGAACGUCAAAAUCGGAGUUCGUAUGCGAAAGUUAUGGUUGUUUUACGAACGGACUCCGAAUUAGAGGACAAAACGGUCCGGAAGUGAGAAAAAUUUGCGGUGGUGGCUAGAAAUUUAUGGAAACGGUGGGAAAAAACACACAAACUGGACUCAAACAAGACCUAACCAGUAACAAGACCUCGACCAUGACACAAACUCAAAACUACGGAUUCUGAAACUGAAAUAUGCAAAGGCUAUAGCGUGGAUGGGUUGUACGACAUGAAAACAAUAUGGCACUAGACUUAUGAGACGAGCACAAGGACACUCGAAACUAAGGAUAGAUGUGAACCUAACGGUAUGUCUGAUGCUUUGAUUACCACUUGAGGAGAACAAGUGUGGCCCGAUCUUCCAAAAGGUUCUGGAAACUAUCGAUUUCGUGGAAACGAGACACAAAUCAAUCCAGCUUGCGAACAACACGAUUCGAAACCCUACAAUUCUUUUUAUUUUUUUUGAUAUUUUUCUUUUACUUAGGAGCACUCAAGAAGUAACCAUAGGAAAUUUGAGCUUAAACAAGUGAAAGACGUGAGCUGUGGAAACUUUUGAAAAUUGCGAAAAAUAUGAAAAAAACUUUUGGAGGUGAAAACUCAAACUUUAGAGGUGAAUUUGGGGAUUCUAAAAUUGUCAAACCCGCACACGGCGGGGAUAGACAGAUCCAAAAAUUUGGUUUAUCGAUUUUGAUAUAUGGUACGUCAAAAUCGGAGUUCGUAUGCGAAUGUUAUGUCUGUUUUACGAACGGACACCGAAUUAGAAGACAAAACGGUCCGGAAGUGGGAAAAAUUUGCGGCGGUGGCUAGAAAUUGAUGGAAACGGUGGGAAGAAACACACAAAUUAGACUCUAACAAGACCUAACCAGUAACAAGAUCUCGACCAGGACACAAACUCAACACUACGGACUCUGAAACUGAAAUAUGCAAAGGCUAUGACGCGGAUGGGUUGUAGGACAUGAAAACAAUAUAGCACUAGACUUAUGGGACGAACACAAGGACACUCGAAACUAAGGAUAGAUGUGAACCUAACGGUACGUCUGAAGCUUUGAUUACCAAUUGAGGAGAACAAGUGUGGCCCGAUCUUCCAAAAGGUCCGGGUAACUAUCGAUUUGGUGGAAACGAGACCCAAAUCAGUCCACCUUGCGAACAACACGAUUCGAAACCCUACAAUUCUUUUCAUUUUUUUUAUUUGAUAUUUUGUUUUACUUAGGAGCACCGAAGAAGUAGCCAUAGAAAAUUUGAGCUUAAACAAGUGAAAGACGUGGCCUGUGGAAUUUUUUGUAGAUUGCGAAAAAUAUGAAAAUAAACUUUAGGAGGUGAAAACUCAAAUUUAGAGGCGAAUUUGGGGAUUCUAAAUUUGUCGAGCCCGCCUACGGGGGGAUAGAUAGACCCAUAAAUUUUUUCUGAUUGAUUUUGAAAUACAUUGAUUUUGAUAUAUGGAAUAUCAAAAUCGGAGUUCGUAUGCGAAAGUUAUGGUUGUUUUACGAACGGACUCCGAAUUAGAGGACAAAACAGUCCGGAAGUGGGAAAAAGUUGCGGCGGUGGCUAUAAAUUGAUGGAAAUGGUGGGAAGAAACACAUGAAUUGGACUCUAACAAGACCUAACCAGCAACAAGAUCUCGACCAGGACACAAACUCAACACUACGGACUCUGAAACUGAAAUAUGCACAGGCUAUGGCGCGGAUGGGAUGUAGGACAUGAAAACAAUAUAGCAGUAGACUUAUGGGACGAACACAAGGACACUUGAAACUAAGGAUAGAUGUGAACCUAACGGUACGUCUGAAGCUUUGAUUAACACUUGAGGACAACAAGUGUGUCCCGAUCUUCCGAAAGGUUCUGGUAACUAUCGAUUUGGUGGAAACGAGACCCAAAUCAAUCCACCUUGCGAACAACGCGGUUUGAAACCCUGCAAUUCUUUUUAUUUUUUUGAUAUUUUUCUUUUACUUAGGAGCACUCAAGAAGUAACCACAGAAAAUUUGAGCUUAAAUAAGUGAAAGACGUGGUCUGUGGAAUUUUUUGAAGAUUGCGAAAAAUAUGAAAAUAAACUUUAAGAGGUGAAAACUCAAAAUUAGAGGCAAAUUUGGGGAUUCUAAAUUUGUCGAACCCACCAAUGGUGGGGAUAGACAGACCCAAAAAUUUUUUCUGAUUGAUUUUGAUUUAUGGAACGUCAAAAUCGGAGAUCGUAUGCGAAUGUUAUGGUUGUUUUAAGAACGGACUCAGAAUUAGAGGACAAAACAGUCCGGAAGUGGGAAAAAUUUGCGGCGGUGGCUAUAAAUUGAUGGAAACGGUGGGAAAAAACACACAAAUUGGACUCAAACAAGACCUAACCAGUAACAAGACCUCGACCAGGACACAAACUCAACACUACGGACUCUGAAACUGAAAUAUGCAAAGACUAUGGUGCGGAUGGGUUGUAGGACAUGAAAACAAUAUGGCACCAGACUUAUGGGACGAACACAAGGACACUCGAAACUAAGGGUAGAUGUGAACCUAACGUUAUCUCUGAAGCUUUGAUUACCACUUGAGGAGAAUAAGUGUGGCCUGAUCUUCCAAAAGUUUCUGGCAACUAUCGAUUUGGUGGAAAAGAGACACAAAUCAAUGCAGCUUGCGAACAACACAGUUCGAAACCUGCAAUUCUUUUUAUUUUUUUUUUGAUAUUUUUCUUUUACUUAGGAGCACUCAAGAAGUAACCACAGGAAAUUUGAGCUUGAACAAGAGAAAGACGUGGCCUGUGGAAACUUUUGAAGAUUGCGAAAAAUAUAAAGAAAACUUUAGGAGGUGAAAACUCAAACUUCAGAGGCGAAUUUGGGGAUUGUAAAUUUGUUGAACCCGCCAAUGGCGGGCAUAGACAGACAUCGAUUUUGAUAUAUGGAACGUCAAAAUCGGAGUUCGUAUGCGAAAGUUAUGGCUGUUUUACGAACGCACUCCGAAUUAGAGGACAAAACAGUCCGGAAGUGGGAAAAUUUGCGGCGGUGGCUAUAAAUUGAUGGAAACGGUGGGAAGAAACAUACAAAUUGGACUCUAACAAGACCUAACCAGUAACAAGACCUCGACCAGGACACAAACUCAACACUACGGACUCUGAAACUGAAAUAUGGAAAGGCUAUGGCGCGGAUGGGUUGUAGGACAUGAAAACAAUAUAGCACUAGACUUAUGGGACGAACACAAGGACACUCGAAACUAAGGAUAGAUGUGAACCUAACGGUACGUCUGAAGCUUUGAUUACCACUUGAGGAGAACAAGUGUGGCCCGAUCUUCCGAAAGGUUCUGGUAACUAUCGAUUUGGUAGAAACGAGACCCAAAUCAAUCCACCUUGCGAACAACAUGAUUCGAAACACUACAAUUCUUUUUAUUUUUUUUAUUUGUUAUUUUCUUUUACUUAGGAGCACCGAAGAAGUAGCCACAGGAAAUUUGAGCUUAAACAAGUGAAAGACGUGGCCUGUGGAAUUUUUUGUAGAUUGCAAAAAAUAUGAAAAUAAACUCUAGGAGGUGAAAACUCAAACUUCAGAGGCGAAUUUGGGGAUUCUAAAUUUGUCGAACCCGCCUUUGGGGGAUAGACAGACCCAAAAAAUUUUUCUAAUUGAUUUUGAUAUAUGGAACGUCAAAAUCGGAGUUCGUAUGCGAAAGUUAUGGCUGUUUUACGAACGGACCCCAAAUUAGAGGACAAAACAGUCCGGAUGUGGGAAAAAUUUGCGGCGGUGGUUAUAAAUUGAUGGAAACGGUGGGAAGAAACACACAAAUUGGACUCUAACAAGACCUAACCAGUAACAAGACCUUGACUAGGACACAAAACACUACGGACUCUGAAACUGAAAUAUGCAAAGGCUAUGGCGCGGAUGGGUUGUAGGACAUGAAAACAAUAUGGCACCAGACUUAUGGGACGAACACAAGGACACUCGAAACUAAGGGUAGAUGUGAACCUAACGGUAUGUCUGAAGCUUUGAUUACCACUUGAGGAGAAUAAGUGUGGCCCGAUCUUCCGAAAGGUUGUGGUAACUAUCGAUUUGGUGGAAAAGAGACACAAAUCAAUCGAGCUUGCGAACAACACGGUUCGAAACCUGCAAUUCUUUUUAUUUUUUUUGAUAUUUUUCUAUUACUUAGGAGCACUCAAGAAGUAACCAAAGGAAAUUUGAGCUUAAACAAGUGAAAGACGUGGCCUGUGGAAUUUUUUGAAGAUUGCGAAAAAUAUAAAAAAAACUUUAGGAGGUCAAAACUCAAACUUCAGGGGUGAAUUUGGGGAUUCUAAAAUUAUUGAACCCACCUCUAGCGGAGAUAGACAGAUCCAAAAAUUUGUUCUGAUCGAUUUUGAUAUAUGCAACGUCAAAAUCGGAGUUCGUAUGCGAAAGUUAUGGCUGUUUUACGAACGGACUCCGAAUUAGAGGACAAAACGUCCGGAAGUGGGAAAAAUUUGCGUUGGUGGCUAGAAAUUGAUGGAAACGGUAGGAAAAAACACACAAACUGGACUCAAACAAGACCUAACUAGUAACAAGACCUCGACCUGGACACAAUCUCAAAACUACGGAUUCUGAAACUGAAAUAUGCAAAGGCUAUAGCGCGGAUGGGUUGUAGGACAUGAAAACAAUAUGACACUAGACUUAUGAGACGAACACAAGGACACUCGAAACUAAGUGUAGAUGUGAACCUAACGGUAUGUCUGAUGCUUUGAUUACCACUUGAGGAGAACAAGUGUGGCCCGAUCUUCCAAAAGAUUCUGGUAACUGUCGAUUUCGUGGAAACGAGACACAAAUCAAUCCAGCUUGCGAACAACACGAUUCGAAACCCUACAAUCCUUUUUAUUUUUUUUUGAUGUUUUUCUUUUACUUAGGAGCACUCAAGAAGUAACCACUGGAAAUUUGAGCUUAAACAAGUGAAAGACGUGAGCUGUGGAAACUUUUGAAUAUUGCGAAAAAUAUGAAAAAAAAAUUUUGGAGGUGAAAACUCAAACUUCAGAGGCAAAUUUGGGGAUUCUAAAAUUGUCAAACCCGCACACGGCAGGGAUAGACAGAUCCAAAAAUUUGGUUUGAUCGAUUUUGAUAUAUGGAACGUCAAAAUCGGAGUUCGUAUGCGAAAAUUAUGGCUGCAUUACGAACGGACACCGAAUGAGAAGACAAAACGGUCCGGAAGUGGGAAAAAUUUGCGGCGGUGGCUAGAAAUUGAUGGAAACGGUGAGAAGAAACACAUAAAUUGGACUCUAACAAGACCUAACCAGUAACAAGAUCUCGACCAGGACACAAACUCAACACUACGGACUCUGAAACUGAAAUAUGCAAAGGCUAUGGCGCAGAUGGGUUGUAGGACAUGAAAACAAUAUAGCACUAGACUUUUAGGACGAACACAAGGACACUCGAAACUAAGGAUAGAUGUGAACCUAACGGUACGUCUGAAGCUUUGAUUACCACUUGAGGAGAACAAGUGUGGCCCGAUCUUCCGAAAGGUUCUGGUAACUAUCGAUUUGGUGGAAACGAGACGCAAAUCAAUCCACCUUGCGAACAACACGAUUUGAAACCCUACAAUUCUUUUUUUUAUUUGAUAUUUUUCUUUUACUUAGGAGCACCAAAGAAGUAGCCACAGGAAAUUUGAGCUUAAACAAGUGAAAGACGUGGCCUGUGGAAUUUUUUGUAGAUUGCGAAAAAUAUGAAAAUAAACUUUAGGAGGUGAAAACUCAAACAUCAGAGGCGAAUUUGGGGAUUCUAAAUUUGUCGAACCCGCUCUUUGCGAGGAUAGACAGACCCAAAAAUUUUUUCUGAUUGAUUUUGAUAUAUGGCACGUCAAAAUCGGAGUUCGUAUGCGAAAGUUAUGGCUGUUUUACGAAUGGACUCCGAAUUAGAGGACAAAACGGUCCGGAAGUGGGAAAAAUUUGUGGUGGUGGCUAGAAAUUGAUGGAAACGGUGGGAAGAAACACACAAAUUGGACUCUAACAAGACCUAACCAGUAACAAGACCUCGACCAGGAUACAAACUCAACACUACGGACUAUGAAACUGAAAUAUGCAAAGGGUAUGGCGCAGAUGGGUUGUGGGACAUGAAAACAGUAUGGCACCAGACUUAUGGGACGAACACAAGGACACUCGAAAUUAAGGGUAGAUGUGAACCUAACUGUAUGUCUGAAGCUUUGAUUACCACUUGAGGAGAAUAUGUGUGGCCCAAUCUUCUGAAAGGUUCUGGUAACUAUCGAUUUGGUGGAAAAGAGACACAAAUCAAUCCAGCUUGCGAACAACACGGUUCGAAACCUGCAAUUCUUUUUAUUUUUGUUGAUAUUUUUCAUUUACUUAGGAGCACUCAUGAAGUAACCACAGGAAAUUUGAGCUUAAACAAUUGAAAGACGUGGCCUGUGGAAUUUUUUGAAGAUUACAAAAAAUAUAAAAAAACUUUAGGAGGUCAAAACUCAAACUUCAGGGGCGAAUUUGGGGAUUCUAAAAUUAUUGAACCCGCCUCUAGCAGAGAUAGAUAGAUCCAAAAAUUUGUUCUGAUCGAUUUUGAUAUAUGGAACGUCAAAAUCGGACUUCGUAUGCGAAAGUUAUGGUUGUUUUACGAACGGACUCCGAAUUAGAGGACAAAACGGUCCGGAAGUGAGAAAAAUUUGCGGUGGUGGCUAGAAAUUGAUGGAAACGGUGGGAAAAAACACACAAAUUGGACUCAAACAAGACCUAACCAGUAACAAGACCUCGACCAGGACACAAACGCAAAACUACGGAUUCUGAAACUGAAAUAUGCAAAGGUUAUAGCGCGGAUGGGUUGUACGACAUGAAAACAAUAUGGCACUAGACUUAUGAGACGAGCACAAGGACACUCGAAACUAAGGGUAGAUGUGAACCUAACGGUAUGUCUGAUGCUUUGAUUACCACUUGAGGAGAACAAGUGUGGCCCGAUCUUCCAAAAGGUUCUAGAAACUAUCGAUUAAGUGGAAACGAGACACAAAUCAAUCCAGCUUGCGAACAACACGAUUCGAAACCCUACAAUUCUUUUUAUUUUUUUUGAUAUUUUUCUUUUACUUAGGAGCACUCAAGAAGUAACCAUAGGAAAUUUGAGGUUAAACAAGUGAAAGACGUGAGCUGUGGAAACUUUUGAAAAUUGCGAAAAAUAUGAAAAAAACUUUUGGAGGUGAAAACUCAAACUUUGGAGGUGAAUUUGGGGAUUCUAAAAUUGUCAAACCCGCACACGGCGGGGAUAGACAGAUCCAAAAAUUUGGUUUGAUCGAUUUUGAUAUAUGGAACGUCAAAAUCGGAGUUCGUAUGCGAAUGUUAUGUCUGUUUUACGAACGGACACCGAAUUAGAAGACAAAACGGUCCGGAAGUGGGAAAAAUUUGCGGCGGUGGCUAGAAAUUGAUGGAAACAGUGGGAAGAAACACACAAAUUAGACUCUAACAAGACCUAACCAGUAACAAGAUCUCGACCAGGAGACAAACUCAACACUACGGACUCUGAAACUGAAAUAUGCAAAGGCUAUGACGCGGAUGGGUUGUAGGACAUGAAAACAAUAUAGCACUAGACUUAUGGGACGAACACAAGGACACUCGAAACUAAGGAUAGAUGUGAAACUAACGGUACAUCUGAAGCUUUGAUUACCAAUUGAGGAGAACAAGUGUGGCCCGAUCUUCCGAAAGGUUCGGGUAACUAUCGAUUUGGUGGAAACGAGACCCAAAUCAGUCCACCUUGCGAACAACACGAUUCGAAACCCUACAAUUCUUUUCAUUUUUUUUAUUUGAUAUUUUGUUUUACUUAGGAGCACCGAAGAAGUAGCCAUAGAAAAUUUGAGCUUAAACAAGUGAAAGACGUGGCCUGUGGAAUUUUUUGUAGAUUGCGAAAAAUAUGAAAAUAAACUUUAGGAGGUGAAAACUCAAAUUUAGAGGCGAAUUUGGGGAUUCUAAAUUUGUCGAACCCGCCUACGGGGGGAUAGACAGACCCAAAAAUUUUUUCUGAUUGAUUUUGAAAUACAUUGAUUUUGAUAUAUGGAACAUCAAAACCGGAGUUCGUAUGCGAAAGUUAUGGUUGUUUUACGAACGGACUCCGAAUUAGAGGACAAAACAGUCCGGAAGUGGGAAAAAGUUGCGGCGGUGGCUAUAAAUUGAUGGAAAUGGUGGGAAGAAACACAUGAAUUGGACUCUAACAAGACCUAACCAGUAACAAGAUCUCGACCAGGACACAAACUCAACACUACGGACUCUGAAACUGAAAUAUGCACAGGCUAUGGCGCGGAUGGGAUGUAGGACAUGAAAACAAUAUAGCAGUAGACUUAUGGGACGAACACAAGGACACUUGAAACUAAGGAUAGAUGUGAACCUAACGGUACGUCUGAAGCUUUGAUUAACACUUGAGGACAACAAGUGUGUCCCGAUCUUCCGAAAGGUUCUGGUAACUAUCGAUUUGGUGGAAACGAGACCCAAAUCAAUCCACCUUGCGAACAACGCGGUUUGAAACCCUGCAAUUCUUUUUAUUUUUUUGAUAUUUUUCUUUUACUUAGGAGCACUCAAGAAGUAACCACAGAAAAUUUGAGCUUAAAUAAGUGAAAGACGUGGUAUGUGGAAUUUUUUGAAGAUUGCGAAAAAUAUGAAAAUAAACUUUAGGAGGUGAAAACUCAAAAUUAGAGGCGAAUUUGGGGAUUCUAAAUUUGUCGAACCCACCAAUGGUGGGGAUAGACAGACCCAAAAAUUUUUUCUGAUUGAUUUUGAUUUAUGGAACGUCAAAAUCGGAGAUCGUAUGCGAAAGUUAUGGUUGUUUUAAGAACGGACUCAGAAUUAGAGGACAAAACGGUCCGGAAGUGGGAAAAUUUUGCGGUGGUGGCUAUAAAUUGAUGGAAACGGUGGGAAUAAACACACAAAUUGGACUCUAACAAGACCUAACCAGUAACAAGAUCUUGACCAGGACACAAACUCAACACUACGGACUCUGAACUGCAAUGGCUAUGGCGCGGAUGGGUUGUAGGACAUGAAAACAAUAUAGCACUAGACUUAUGGGACGAACACAAGGACACUCGAAACUAAGGAUAUAUGUGAACCUAACGGUACGUCUGAAGCUUUGAUUAACACUUGGGGAGAACAAGUGUGGCCCGAUCUUCCGAAUGGUUCUGGUAACUAUCGAUUUGGUGGAAACGAGACACAAAUCAAUCCAGCUUACGAACAACACGAUUCGAAACCCUACAAUUCUUUUUAUUUUUUGUUUGAUAUUUUUAUUUUACUUAGGAGCACUCAAGAAGUAAGCACAUGAAAUUUGGGCUUAAACAAGUGAAAGACGUGACCUGUGGAAACUUUUGAAAAUUGCGAAAAAUAUGAAAAAAACUUUUGGAGGUGAAACCUCAAACUUUAGAGUGGAAUUUGGGGAUUUUUAAUUUGUUGAACCUGCCUAUGGGGGGAUAGACAGACCCAAAAAAUUUUUCUGAUUGAUUUUGAUAUAUGGAACGUCAAAAUCGGAGUUCGUAUGCGAAAGUUAUGGCUGUUUUACGAAUGGACUCCGAAUUAUAGGACAAAACAGUCCGGAAGUGGGAAAAAUUUGCGGCGGUGGCUAUAAGUUGAUGGAAACGGUGGGAAGAAACAUACAAAUUGGACUCUAACAAGACCUAACCAGUAACAAGAUCUCGACCAGGACACAAACUCAACACUACGGACUCUGAAACUGAAAUAUGCAAAGGCUAUGGCGCGGAUGGGUUGUAGGACAUGAAAACAAUAUAGCACUAGACUUAUGGGACGAACACAAGGACACUCGAAACUAAGGGUAGAUGUGAACCUAACGGUACGUCUGAAGCUUUGAUUACCACUUGAGGAGAACAAGGCCCGAUCUUCCGAAAGGUUCUGGUAACUAUCGAUUUGGUGGAAACGAGACACAAAUCAAUCCAGUUUGCGAACAACACGAUUCGAAACCCUGCAAUUCUUUUUUUUUUGAUAUUUUUCUUUUACUUAGGAGCACUGAAGAAGUAACCACAUGAAAUUUGAGCUUAAACAAGUGAAGGACGUGGCCUGUGGAAUUUUUUGAAGAUUGCGAAAAAUAUGAAAAUAAAGUUUAGGAGGUGAAAACUCAAAUUUUCAGAGGCGAGUUUGGGAAUUCUAAAUUUGUCGCACCCGCCUAUGGCGGGGAUAGACAGAUCCAAAAAUUUUUCUUAUCGAUUUUGAUAUAUGGAACGUCAAAAUCGGAGUUCGUAGGCGAAAGUUAUGGCUGUUUUACGAAUGGACUCUGAAUUAGAGGACAAAACGGUCCGGAAGUGGGAAAAAUUUGCGUUGGUGGCUAGAAAUUGAUGGAAACGGUGGGAAAAAACACACAAACUGGACUCUAACAAGACCAAAUCAGUAACAAGACCUCGACCAGGACACAAACUCAACACUAUGGAGUCUGAAACUGAAAUAUGCAAAGGUUAUGGCGCGGAUGGGUUGUAGGACAUGAAAACAAUUUGGCACUAGACUUAUGGGACGAACACAAGGACACUCAAAACUAAGGGUAGAUGUGAACCUAACGGUACGUCUGAAGCUUUGAUUACCACUUGAGGAGAACAAGGCCCGAUCUUCCGAAAGGUUCUGGUAACUAUCGAUUUGGUGGAAACGAGACACAAAUCAAUCCAGUUUGCGAACAACACGAUUUGAAACCCUGCAAUUCUUUUUAUUUUUUUGAUAUUUUUCUUUUACUUAGAAGCACUCAAAAAGUAACCACAGGAAAUUUGAGCUUAAACAAGUGAAGGACGUGGCCUGUGGAAUUUUUUGAAGAUUGCGAAAAAUAUGAAAAUAAAGUUUAGGAGGUGAAAACUCAAAUUUUUAGAGGCGAGUUUGGGAAUUCUAAAUUUGUCGCACCCGCCUAUGGUGGGGAUAGACAGAUCCAAAAAUUUUUCUGAUUGAUUUUGAUAUAUGGAACGUCAAAAUCGGAGUUCGUAGGCGAAAGUUAUGGCUGUUUUACGAACGGACUCUGAAUUAGAGGACAAAACGGUCCGGAAGUGGGAAAAUUUUGCGGUGGUGGCUAUAAAUUGAUGGAAACGGUGGGAAGGAACACACAAAUUGGACUCUAACAAGACCUAACCAGUAACAAGAUCUCGACCAGGACAAAAACUCAACACUACGGACUCUGAAACUGAAAUAUGCAAAGGCUAUGGCGCGGAUGGGUUGUAGGACAUGAAAACAAUAUAGCACUAGACUUAUGGGACGAACACAAGGACACUCGAAACUAAGGGUAGAUGUGAACCUAACGGUACGUCUGAAGCUUUGAUUACCACUUGAGGAGAACAAGGCCCGAUCUUCCGAAAGGUUCUGGUAACUAUCGAUUUGGUGGAAACGAGACACAAAUCAAUCCAGUUUGCGAACAACACGAUUCGAAACCCUGCAAUUCUUUUUUUUUGAUAUUUUUCUUUUACUUAGGAGCACUGAAGAAGUAACCACAUGAAAUUUGAGCUUAAACAAGUGAAGGACGUGGCCUGUGGAAUUUUUUGAAUAUUGCGAAAAAUAUUAAAAUAAAGUUUAGGAGGUGAAAACUCAAAUUUUCAGAGGCGAGUUUGGGAAUUCUAAAUUUGUCGCACCCGCCUAUGGCGGGGAUAGACAGAUCCAAAAAUUUUUCUGAUCGAUUUUGAUAUAUGGAACGUCAAAAUCGGAGUUCGUAGGCGAAAGUUAUGGCUGUUUUACGAACGGACUCUAAAUUAGAGGACAAAACGGUCCGGAAGUGGGAAAAAUUUGCGGUGGUGGCUAGAAAUUGAUGGAAACGGUGGGAAAAAACACACAAACUGGACUCUAACAAGACCAAAUCAGUAACAAGACCUCGACCAGGACACAAACUCAACACUAUGGAGUCUGAAACUGAAAUAUGCAAAGGUUAUGGCGCGGAUGGGUUGUAGGACAUGAAAACAAUUUGGCACUAGACUUAUGGGACGAACACAAGGACACUCGAAACUAAGGGUAGAUGUGAACCUAACGGUACGUCUGAAGCUUUGAUUACCACUUGAGGAGAACAAGGCCCGAUCUUCUGAAAGGUUCUGGUAACUAGCGAUUUGGUGGAAACGAGACACAAAUCAAUUCAGUUUGCGAACAACACGAUUCGAAACCCUGCAAUUCUUUUUAUUUUUUUGAUAUUUUUCUUUUACUUAGGAGCACUCAAGAAGUAACCACAGGAAAUUUGAGCUUAAACAAGUGAAGGACGUGGCCUGUGGAAUUUUUUGAAGAUUUCGAAAAAUAUGAAAAUAAACUUUAGGAGGUGAAAACUCAAAUUUUCAGAGGCGAGUUUGGGAAUUCUAAAUUUGUCGCACCCGCUAAGGUGGGGAUAGACAGAUCCAAAAAUUUUUCUGAUCGAUUUUGAUAUAUGGAACGUCAAAAUCGGAGUUCGUAGGUGAAAGUUAUGGCUGUUUUACGAACGGACUCUGAAUUAGAGGAUAAAACGGUCCGGAAGUGGGAAAAUUUUGCGGUGGUGGCUAUAAAUUGAUGGAAACGGAGGGAAGAAACACACAAAUUGGACUCUAACAAGACCUAACCAGUAACAAGAUCUCGACCAGGACACAAACUCAACACUACGGACUCUGAACUGAAAUAUGCAAAGGCUAUGGCGCGGAUGGGUUGUAGGACAUGAAAACAAUAUAGCACUAGACUUAUGGGACGAACACAAGGACACUCGAAACUAAGGAUAGAUGUGAACCUAACGGUACGUCUGAAGCUUUGAUUAACACUUGAGGAGAACAAGUGUGGCCCGAUCUUCCGAAUGGUUCUAGUAACUAUCAAUUUGGUGGAAACGAGACCCAAAUCAAUCCACCUUGCGAACAACGCGGUUCAAAACCCUGCAAUUCUUUUUAUUUUUUUUUUGAUAUUUUUCUUUUACCUAGGAGCACUCAAGAAUUAACCAUUGGAAAUUUGAGCUUAAACAAGUGAAAGACGUGGCCUGUGAAAUUUUUUGAAGAUUGCAAAAAAUAUAAAAAAACUUUAGGAGGUGAAAACUCAAACUUCAGGUGCGAAUUUGGGGAUUCUAAAAUUAUCGAACCCUCCUCUAGCAGAGAUGGACAGAUCCAAAAAUUUGUUCCGAUCGAUUUUAAUAUAUGGAACGUCAAAAUCGGAGUUCGUAUGCGAAAGUUAUGUCUGUUUUACGAACGGACUCCGAAUUAGAGGACAAAACGGUCCAGAAGUGGGGAAAAUUUGUGGUGGUGGCUAGAAAUUGAUGGAAACGGUGGGAAAAAACACACAAACUGGACUCUAACAAGACCAAAUCAGUAACAAGACCUCGACCAGGACACAAACUCAACACUACGGACUCUGAAACUGAAAUAUGCAAAGGUUAUGGCGCGGAUGGGUUGUAGGACAUGAAAACAAUUUGGCACUAGACUUAUGGGAUGAAUACAAGGACACUCGACACUAAGGGUAGAUGUGAACCUAACGGUACGUCUGAAGCUUUGAUUACCACUUAAGGAGAACAAGGCCCGAUCUUCCGAAAGGUUCUGUGGUAACUAUCGAUUUGGUGGAAACGAGACAGAAAUCAAUCCAGUUUGCGAACAACAUGAUUCGAAACCCUGCAAUUCUUUUUUUUGAUAUUUUUCUUUUACUUAGGAGCACUGAAGAAGUAACCACAAGAAAUUUGAACUAAAACAAGUGAAGGACGUGGCCUGUGGAAUUUUUUGAAGAUUGCGAAAAAUAUGAAAAUAAAGUUUAGGAGGUGAAAACUCAAAUUUUCAGAGGCGAGUUUGGGAAUUCUAAAUUUGUCGCACCCGCCUAUGGCGGGGAUAGACAGAUCCACAAAUUUUUCUGAUCGAUUUUGAUAUAUGGAACGUCAAAAUCGGAGUUCGUAGGCGAAAGUUAUGGCUGUUUUACGAACGGACUCUGAAUUAGAGGACAAAACGGUCCGGAAGUGGGAAAAUUUUGCGGUGGUGGCUAUAAAUUGAUAGAAACGGUGGGAAGAAACACACAAAUGGGACUCUAACAAGACCUAACCAGUAACAAGAUCUCGACCAGGACACAAACUCAACACUACGGACUCUGAACUGAAAUAUGGAAAGGCUAUGGCGUGGAUGGGUUGUAGGACAUGAAAACAAUAUAGCACUAGACUUUUGGGACAAACACAAGGACACUCGAAACUAAGGAUAGAUGUGAACCUAACGGUACAUCUGAAGCUUUGAUUAACACUUGAGGAGAACAAGUGUGGCCCGAUCUUCCGAAAGGUUCUACUAACUAUCAAUUUGGUGGAAACGAGACCCAAAUGAAUCCACCUUGCGAACAACGCGGUUCGAAACCCUGCAAUUCUUUUUUAUUUUUUUUGAUAUUUUUCUUUUACUUAGGAGUACUCAAGAAGUAACCACACGAAAUUUGAGCUUAAAAAAGUGAAAGACGUGGCCUGUGGAAUUUUUUGAAGAUUGCAAAAAAUAUAAAAAACUUUAGGAGGUGAAAACUCAAAAUUCAGGGGCGAAUUUGGGGAUUCUAAAAUUAUCAAACCCACCUCUAGCGGAGAUAGACAGAUCCAAAAAUUUGUUCUGAUCGAUUUUGAUAUAUGGAACGUCAAAAUCGGAGUUCGUAUGCGAAAGUUAUGGCUGUUUUACGAACGGACUCCGAAUUAGAGGACAAAACGGUCCGGAAGUGGGAAAAAUUUGUGGUGGUGGCUAGAAAUUGAUGGAAACGGUGGGAAAAAACAUACAAACUGGACUCUAACAAGACCAAAUCAGUAACAAGACCUUGACUAGGACACAAACUCAACACUACGGACUCUGAAACUGAAAUAUGCAAAGGUUAUGGCGCAGAUGGAUUGUAGGACAUGAAAACAAUUUGACACUAGACUUAUGGGACGAACACAAGGACACUCGAAACUAAGGGUACAUGUGAACCUAACGGUACGUCUGAAGCUUUGAUUACCACUUGAGGAGAACAAGGCCCGAUCUUCCGAAAGGUUCUGGUAACUAUCGAUUUGGUGGAAACGAGGCACAAAUCAAUCCAGUUUGCGAACAACACGAUUCGAAACCCUGCAAUUCUUUUUUUUAUAUAUUUUUCUUUUACUUAGGAGCACUGAAGAAGUAACCACAAGAAAUUUGAGCUUAAACAAGUGAAGGACAUGGCCUGUGGAAUUUUUUGAAGAUUGUGAAAAAUAUGAAAAUAAAGAUUAGGAGGUGAAAACUCAAAUUUUCAGAGGCGAGUUAGGGAAUUCUAAAUUUGUCGCACCCGCCUAUGGCGGGGAUAGACAAAUCCAAAAUUUUUUCUGAUCGAUUUUGAUAUAUGGAACGUCAAAAUCGGAGUUCGUAGGCGAAAGUUAUGGCUGUUUUACGAACCGACUCUGAAUUAGAGGACAAAACGGUCCGGAAGUGGGAAAAAUUUGCGGUGGUGGCUAUAAAUUGAUGGAAACGGUGGGAAGAAACACACAAAUUGGACUCUAACAAGACCUAACCAGUAACAAGAUCUCGACCAGGACACAAACUCAACACUACGGACUCUAAAACUGAAAUAUGCAAAGGCUAUGGCGCAGAUGGGUUGUAGGACAUGAAAACAAUAUAGCACUAGACUUAUGGGACGAACACAAGGACACUCGAAACUAAGGAUAGAUGUGAACCUAACGGUACGUCUGAAGCUUUGAUUAACACUUGAGGAGAACAAGUGUGGCCCGAUCUUUCGAAAGGUUCUAGUAACUAUCAAUUUGGUGGAAACGAGAUCCAAAUCAAUCCAUCUUGCGAAGAACGCGGUUCGAAACCCUGCAAUUCUUUUUUUUUGAUAUUUUUCUUUUACUUGGGAGCACUGAAGAAGUAACCACAGGAAAUUUGAGCUUAAACAAGUGAAAGACUUGGCCUGUGGAAUUUUUUGAAUAUUGCGAAAAAUAUAAAAAAACUUUAGGAGGUGAAAACUCAAACUUCAGGGGUGAAUUUGGGGAUUCUAAAAUUAACGAACCCACCUCUAGCGGAGAUAGACAGAUCCAAAAAUUUCUUCUCAUCGAUUUUGAUAUAUGGAACGUCAAAAUCGGAGUUCGUAUGCGAAAGUUAUGGCUGUUUUAGGAACGGACUCCGAAUUAGAGGACAAAACGGUCCGGAAGUGGGAAAAAUUUGUGGUGGUGGCUAGAAAUUGAUGGAAACGGUGGGAAAAAACACGCAAACUGGACUCUAACAAGACCAAAUCAGUAACAAGACCUUGACCAGGACACAAACUCAACAUUACGGACUCUGAAACUGAAAUAUGCAAAGGUUAUGGCGCGGAUGGGUUGUAGGACAUGAAAACAAUUUGGCACUAGACUUAUGGGACGAACACAAGGACACUCGAAACUAAGGGUAGAUGUGAACCUAACGGUACGUCUGAAGCUUUGAUUACCACUUGAGGAGAACAAGGCCCGAUCUUCCGAAAGGUUCUGGUAACUAUCGAUUUGGUGGAAACGAGACACAAAUCAAUCCAGUUUGCUAACAACACGAUUCGAAACCCUGCAAUUCUUUUUUUUUAUAUAUUUUUCUUUUACUUAGGAGCACUGAAGAAGUAACCACAAGAAAUUUGAGCUUAAACAAGUGAAGGACAUGGCUUGUGGAAUUUUUUGAAGAUUGCGAAAAAUAUGAAAAUAAUGUUUAGGAGGUGAAUACUCAAAUUUUCAGAGGCGAGUUUGGGAAUUCGAAAUAUGUCGCACCCGCCUAUGGCGGGGAUAGACAGAUCCACAAAAUUUUCUGAUCGAUUUUGAUAUAUGGAACGUCAAAAUCGGAGUUCGUAGGCGAAAGUUAUGGCUGUUUUACGAACGGACUCUGAAUUAGAGGACAAAACGGUCCGGAAGUGGGAAAAUUUUGCGGUGGUGGCUACAAAUUGAUAGAAACGGUGGGAAGAAACACACAAAUUGGACUCUAACAAGACCUAGCCAGUAACAAGAUCUCGACCAGGACACAAACUCAACACUACGGACUCUGAACUGAAAUAUGGAAAGGCUAUGGCGCGGAUGGGUUGUAGGACAUGAAAACAAUAUAGCACUAGACUUUUGGGACAAACACAAGGACACUCGAAACUAAGGAUAGAUGUGAACCUAACGGUACAUCUGAAGCUUUGAUUAACACUUGAGGAGAACAAGUGUGGCCCGAUCUUCCGAAAGGUUCUACUAACUAUCAAUUUGGUGGAAACGAGACCCAAAUCAAUCCACCUUGCGAACAACGCGGUUCGAAACCCUGCAAUUCUUUUUUAUUUUUUUUUGAUAUUUUUCUUUUACUUAGGAGCACUCAAGAAGUAACCACACGAAAUUUGAGCUUAAAAAAGUGAAAGACGUGGCCUGUGGAAUUUUUUGAAGAUUGCAAAAAAUAUAAAAAAAACUUUAGGAGGUGAAAACUCAAAAUUCAGGGGCGAAUUUGGGGAUUCUAAAAUUAUCGAACCCACCUCUAGCGGAGAUAGACAGAUCCAAAAAUUUGUUCUGAUCGAUUUUGAUAUAUUGAACGUCAAAAUCGGAGUUCGUAUGCGAAAGUUAUGGCUGUUUUACGAACGGACUCUGAAUUAGAGGACAAAACGGUCCGGAAGUGGGAAAAAUUUACGGUGGUGGCUAGAAAUUGAUGGAAACAGUGGGAAAAAACACACAAACUGGAAUGUAACAAGACCUAACCAGUAACAAGACCUCGACCAGGACACAAACUCAACACUACGGACUCUGAAACUGAAAUAUGCAAAGGUUGUGGCGCGGAUGGGUUGUAGGAAAUGAAAACAAUUUGGCACUAGACUUAUGGGACGAAGACAAGGACACUCGAAACUAAGGGUAGAUGUGAACCUAACGAUACGUAUGAAGCUUUGAUUACAACUUCAGGAGAACAAGGCCCGAUCUUCCGAAAGGUUCUGGUAACUAUCAAUUUGGUGGAAACGAGACCCAAAUCAGUCCACCUUGCGAACAACGCGGUUCGAAACCCUGCAAUUCUUUUUAUUUUUUUUGAUAUUUUUUAUUUACUUAGGAGCACUCAAGAAGUAACCACCGGAAAUUUGAGCUUAAACAAGUUAAAGACGUGGCCUGUGGAAUUUUUUGAAGAUUGCGAAAAAUAUAAAAAAAACUUUAGGACGUGAAAACUCAAACUUCAGGGGCGAAUUUGGGGAUUCUAAAAUUAUCGCACCUGCCUCUAGCAGAGAUAGACAGAUCCAAAAAUUUGUUCUGAUCGAUUUUGAUAUAUGGAACGCCAAAAUCGGAGUUCGUAUGCGAAAGUUAUGGCUGUUUUGCGAACGGACUCUGAAUUAGAGGACAAAACGGUCCGGAAUUGGGAAAAAUUUGUGGUGGUGGCUAGAAAUUGAUGGAAACGGUGGGAAAAAACACACAAACUGGACUCUAACAAGACCAAAUCAGUAACAAGACCUUGACCAGGACACAAACUCAACACUACGGACUCUGAAACUGAAAUAUGCAAAGGUUAUGGCGCGGAUGGGUUGUAGGACAUGAAAACAAUUUGGCACUAGACUUAUGGGACGAACACAAGGACACUCGAAACUAAAGGUAGAUGUGAACCUAACGGUACGUCUGAAGCUUUGAUUACCACUUGAGGAGAACAAGGCUUGAUCUUCCGAAAGGUUGUGGUAACUAUCGAUUUGGUGGAAACGAGACACAAAUCAAUCCAGUUUGCUAACAACACGAUUCGAAACCCUGCAAUUCUUUUUUUUAUAUAUUUUUCUUUUACUUAGGAGCACUGAAGAAGUAACCACAAGAAAUUUGAGCUUAAACAAGUGAAGGACAUGGCCUGUGGAAUUUUUUGAAGAUUGCGAAAAAUAUGAAAAUAAUGUUUAGGAGGUGAAUACUCAAAUUUUCAGAGGCGAGUUUGGGAAUUCUAAAUUUGUCACACCCGCCUAUGGCGGGGAUAGACAAAUCCAAAAAUUUUUUUGAUCGAUUUUGAUAUAUGGAACGUCAAAAUCAGAGUUCGUAGGCGAGAGUUAUGGCUGUUUUACGAACAGACUCUGAAUUAGAGGACAAAACGGUCCGGAAGUGGGAAAAAUUUGCGGUGGUGGCUAUAAAUUGAUGGAAACAGUGGGAAGAAACACACAAAUUGGACUCUAACAAGACCUAACUAGUAACAAGAUCUCGACCAGGACACAAACUCAACACUACGGACUCUGAAACUGAAAUAUGCAAAGGCUAUGGCGCGGAUGGGUUGUAGGACAUGAAAACAAUAUAGCACUAGACUUAUGGGACGAACACAAGGACACUCGAAACUAAGGAUAGAUGUGAACCUAACGGUACGUCUGAAGCUUUGAUUAACACUUGAGGAGAACAAGUGUGGCCCGAUCUUCCGAAAGGUUCUAGUAACUAUCAAUUUGGUGGAAACGAGAUCCAAAUCAACCCAUCUUGCGAACAACGCGGUUCGAAACCCUGCAAUUCUUUUUUUUUGAUAUUUUUCUUUUACUAAGGAGCAGUCAAGAAGUAACCACAGGAAAUUUGAGCUUAAACAAGUGAAAGACUUGGCCUGUGGAAUUUUUUGAAUAUUGCAAAAAAUAUAAAAAAACUUUAGGAAGUGAAAACUCAAACUUCAGGGGCGAAUUUGGGGAUUCUAAAAUUAUCGAACCCACCUCUAGCGAAGAUAGACAGAUCCAAAAAUUUCUUCUCAUCGAUUUUGAUAUAUGGAACGUCAAUAUCUGAGUUCGUAUGCGAAAGUUAUGGCUGUUUUACGAACGAACUCCGAAUUUGAGGACAAAACGGUCCGGAAGUGGGAAAAAUUUGUGGUGGUGGCUAGAAAUUGAUGGAAACGGUGGGAAAAAACACACAAACUGGACUCUAACAAGACCAAAUCAGUAACAAGACCUCGACCAGGACACAAACUCAACACUACGGACUCUGAAACUGAAAUAUGCAAAGGUUGUGGCGCGGAUGGGUUGUAGGAAAUGAAAACAAUUUGGCACUAGACUUAUGGGACGAAGACAAGGACACUCGAAACUAAGGGUAGAUGUGAACCUAACGGUACGUAUGAAGCUUUGAUUACAACUUCAGGAGAACAAGGCCCGAUCUUCCGAAAGGUUCUGGUAACUAUCGAUUUGGUGGAAACGAGACCCAAAUCAGUCCACCUUGCGAACAACGCGGUUCGAAACCCUGCAAUUCUUUUUAUUUUUUUUGAUAUUUUUUAUUUACUUAGGAGCACUCAAGAAGUAACCACCGGAAAUUUGAGCUUAAAUAAGUUAAAGACGUGGCCUGUGGAAUUUUUUGAAGAUUGCGAAAAAUAUAAAAAAAACUUUAGGAGGUGAAAACUCAAACUUCAGGGGCGAGUUUGGGGAUUCUAAAAUUAUCGCACCCGCCUCUAGCCAAGAUAGACAGAUCCAAAAAUUUGUUCUCAUCGAUUUUGAUAUAUGGAACGUCAAAAUCGGAGUUCGUAUGCGAAAGUUAUGGCUGUUUUGCGAACGGACUCCGAAUUAGAGGACAAAACGGUCUGGAAUUGGGAAAAAUUUGUGGUGGUGGCUAGAAAUUGAUGGAAACGGUGGGAAAAAACACACAAACUAGACUCUAACAAGACCAAAUCAGUAACAAGACCUUGACCAGGACACAAACUCAACACUACGGACUCUGAAACUGAAAUAUGCAAAGGUUAUGGCGCGGAUGGGUUGCAGGACAUGAAAACAAUUUGGCACUAGACUUAUGGGACGAACACAAGGACACUCGAAACUAAAGGUAGAUGUGAACCUAACGGUACGUCUGAAGCUUUGAUUACCACUUGAGGAGAACAAGGCCUGAUCUUCUGAAAGGUUGUGGUAACUAUCGAUUUGGUGGAAACGAGACACAAAUCAAUCCAGUUUGCGAACAACACGAUUGGAAACCCAGCAAUUCUUUUUUUUUUAUGUUUUUAUUUUACUUAGGAGCACUCAAGAAGUAACCACAAGAAAUUUGAGCUUAAACAAGUGAAGGACGUGGCCUGUGGAAUUUUUUGAAGUUUGCGAAAAAUAUGAAAAUAAUGUUUAGGAGGUGAAAACUCAAAUUUUCAGAGGCGAGUUUGGGAAUUCUAAAUUUGUCGCACCCGCCUAUGGCGGGGAUAGAUAGAUCUAAAAAAUUUUCUGAUCGAUUUUGAUAUAUGGAACGUCAAAAUCGGAGUUCGUAGGCGAAAGUUAUGGCUGUUUUACGAACGGACUCUGAAUUAGAGGACAAAUCGGUCCGGAAGUGGGAAAGUUUUGCGGUGGUGGUUAUAAAUUGAUGGAAACGGUGGGAAGAAACACACAAAUUGGACUCUAACAAGACCUAACCAGUAACAAGAUCUCGACCAGGACACAAACUCAACACUACGGACUGAACUGAAAUAUGCAAAGGCUAUGGCGCGGAUGGGUUGUAGGACAUGAAAACAAUAUAGCACUAGACUUAUGGGACGAACACAAGGACACUCGAAACUAAAGAUAGAUGUGAACCUAACGGUACGUCUGAAGCUUUGAUUAACACUUGAGGAGAACAAGUGUGGCCCGAUCUUCCGAAAGGUUCUAGUAACUAUCAAUUUGGUGGAAACGAGACCCAAAUCAAUCCACCUUGCGAACAACGCGGUUCAAAACCCUGCAAUUCUUUUUAUUUUUUUUGAUAUUUUUCUUUUAUUUAGGAGCACUCAAGAAGUAACCACAGGAAAUUUGAGCUUAAACAAGUGAAAGACAUGGCCUGUGGAAUUUUUGGAAGAUUGCGAAAAAUAUAAAAAAAACUUUAGGAGGUGAAAACUCAAACUUCAGGGGCAAAUUUGGGGAUUCUAAAAUAAUCGAACCCACCUCUAGCAGAGAUAGACAGAUCCAAAAAUUUGUUCUGAUCGACUUUGAUAUAUGGAACGUCAAAAUCGGAGUUCGUAUGAGAAAGUUAUGGUUGUUUUACGAACGGACUCCGAAUUAGAGGACAAAACGGUCCGGGAGUGGGAAAAAUUUGUGGUGGUGGUUAGAAAUUGAUGGAAACGGUGGGAAAAAACAUACAAACUGGACUCUAACAAGACCAAAUCAGUAACAGGACCUCGACCAGGACACAAACUCAACACUACGGACUCUGAAACUGAAAUAUGCAAAGGUUAUGGCGCGCAUGGGUUAUAGGACAUGAAAACAAUUUGGCACUAGACUUAUGGGACGAACACAAGGACACUCGAAACUAAGGGUAGAUGUGAACCUAACGGUACGUCUGAAGCUUUGAUUACCACUUGAGGAGAACAAGGCCCGAUCUUCCGAAAGGUUCUGGUAACUGUCGAUUUGGUUGAAACGAGACACAAAUCAAUCCAGUUUGCGAACAACACGAUUCGAAACCCUACAAUUCUUUUUAUUGAUAUUUUUCUUUUACUUAGGAGCACUGAAGAAGUAACCACAAGAAAUUUGAGCUUAAACAAGUGAAGGACGUGGCCUGUGGAAUUUUUUGAAGAUUGCGAAAAAUAUGAAAAUAAAGUUUAGGAGGUGAAAACUCAAAUUUUCAGAGGCGAGUAUGGGAAUUCUAAAUUUGUCGCACCGGCCUAUGGCGGGGAUAGACAGAUCCAAAAAAUUUUCUGAUCGAUUUUGAUAUAUGGAACGUCAAAAUCGGAGUUCGUAGGCGAAAGUUAUGGCUGCUUUACGAACGGACUCUGAAUUAUAGGACAAAACGGUCCGGAAGUGGGAAAAAUUUGCGGUGGUGGCUAGAAAUUAAUGGAAACGGUGGGAAAAACACACAAACUGGACUCUAACAAGACCAAAUUAGUAACAAGACCUCGACCAGGACACAAACUCAACACGGACUAUGAAACUGAAAUAUGCAAAGGUUAUGGCGCGGAUGGGUUGUAGGACAUGAAAACAAUUUGGCACUAGACUUAUGGGACGAACACAAGGACACUCGAAACUAAGGGUAGAUGUGAACCUAACGGUACGUCUGAAGCUUUGAUUACCACUUGAGGAGAACAAGGCCCGAUCUUCCGAAAGGUUCUGGUAACUAUCAAUUUGGUGGAAACGAGACACAAAUUAAUCCAGUUUGCGAACAACACGAUUCCAAACCCUGCAAUUCUUUUUAUUUUUUUUGAUAUUUUUUUUUACUUCGGAGCACUCAAGAAGUAACCACAGAAAAUUUGAGCUUAAACAAGUGAAGGACGUGGCCUGUGGAAUUUUUUGAAGAUUGCGAAAAAUAUGAAAAUAAAGUUUAGGAGGUGAAAACUCAAAUUUUCAGAGGCGAGUUUGGGAAGUCUAAAUUUGUCGCACCCGCCUAUGGUGGGGAUAGACAGAUCCAAAAAUUUUUCUGAUCGAUUUUGAUAUAUGGAACGUCAAAAUCAGAGUUCGUAGGCGAAAGUUAUGGCUGUUUUACGAACGGACUCUGAAUUAGAGGACAAAACGGUCCGGAAGUGGGAAAAUUUUGCGGUGGUGGCUAUAAAUUGAUGGAAACGGUGGGAAGAAACACACAAAUUGGACUCUAACAAGAUCUAACCAGUAACAAGAUCUCGACUAGGACACAAAAUCAACACUACAGACUCUGAAACUGAAAUAUGCAAAGGCUAUGGCGCGGAUGGGUUGUAGGACAUGAAAACAAUAUAGCACUAGACUUAUGGGACGAACACAAGGACACUCGAAACUAAGGAUAGAUGUGAACCUAACGGUACGUCUGAAGCUUUGAUUAACACUUGAGGAGAACAAGUGUGGCCCGAUCUUGCGAAAGGUUCUAGUAACUAUCAAUUUGGUGGAAACGAGACCCAAAUCAAUCCAUCUUGCGAACAACGCGGUUCGAAACUCUGCAAUUCUUUUUAUUUUUUUUUGAUAUUUUUAUUUUACUUAGGAGCACUCAAGAAGUAACCAUAGGAAAUUUGAGCUUAAACAAGUGAAAGACUUGGCCUGUGGAAUUUUUUGAAGAUUGCGAAAAAUAUAAAAAAACAUUAGGAGGUGAAAACUCAAACUUCAGGAGCGAAUUUGGGGAUUCUAAAAUUAUCGAACCCACCUCUAGCGGAGAUAGACAGAUCCAAAAAUUUGUUGUGAUCGAUUCUGAUAUAUGGAACGUCAAUAUCGGAGUUCGUAUGCGAAAGUUAUGGCUGUUUUACGAACGGACUCCGAAUUAGAGGACAAAACGGUCCGGAAGUGGGAAAAAUUUGUGGUGGUGGCUAGAAAUUGAUGGAAACGGUGGGAAAAAACACACAAACUGGACUCUAACAAGACCAAAUCAGUAACAAGACCUCGACCAGGACACAAACUCAACACUACGGACUCUGAAACUGAAAUAUGCAAAGGUUAUGGCGCGGAUGGGUUGUAGGACAUAAAAAUAAUUUGGCACUAGACUUAUGGGAGGAACACAAGGACACUCAAAACUAAGGGUAGAUGUGAACCUAACGGUACGUCUCAAGCUUUGAUUACCACUUGAGGAGAACAAGGCCCGAUCUUCCGAAAGGUUCUGGUUACUAUCGAUUUGGUGGAAACGAGACACAAAUCAAUCCAGUUUGCGAACAACACGAUUCGAAACCCUACAAUUCUUUUUUUUGAUAUUUUUCUUUUAAUUAGGAGCACUCAAGAAGUAACCACAAGAAAUUUGAGCUUAAACAAGUGAAGGACGUGGCCUUUGGAAUUUUUUGAAGAUUGCGAAAAAUAUGAAAAUAAAGUUUAGGAGGUGAAAACUCAAAUUUUCAGAGGCGAGUUUGGGAAUUCUAAAUUUGUCGCACCCGCCUAUGGCGGGGAUAGACAAAUCCAAAAAUUUUUCUGAUCGACUUUGAUAUAUGGAACGUCAAAAUCGGAGUUCGUAGGCGAAAGUUAUGGCUGUUUUACGAACGGACUCUGAAUUAGAGGACAAAACGGUGCGGAAGUGGGAAAAAAUUGCGGUGGUGGCUAGAAAUUGAUGGAAACGGUGGGAAAAACACACAAACUGGACUCUAACAAGACCAAAUUAGUAACAAGACCUCGACCAAGACACAAACUCAACACUACGGACUAUGAAACUCAAAUAUGCAAAGGUUAUGGCGCGGAUGGGUUGUAGGACAUGAAAACAAUUUGGCACUAGACUUAUGGGACGAACGCAAGGACACUCGAAACUAAGGGUAGAUGUGAACCUAACGGUACGUCUGAAGCUUUGAUUACCACUUGAGGAGAACAAGGCCCGAUCUUCCGAAAGGUUCUGGUAACUAUCGAUUUCAUGGAAACGAGACACAAAUUAAUCCAGUUUGCGAACAACACGAUUCGAAACCCUGCAAUUCUUUUUAUUUUUUUGAUAUUUUUCUUUUACUUAGGAGCACUCAAGAAGUAACCACAGGAAAUUUGAGCUUAAACAAGUGAAGGACGUGGCCUGUGGAAUUUUUUGAAGAUUGCGAAAAAUAUGAAAAUAAAGUUUAGGAGGUGAAAACUCAAAUUUUCAGAGGCGAGUUUGGGAAUUCUAAAUUUGUCGCACCCGCCUAUGGUGGGGCUAGACAGAUCCAAAAAUUUUUCUGAUCGAUUUUGAUAUAUGAAACGUCAAAAUCAGAGUUCGUAGGCGAAAGUUAUGGCUGUUUUACGAACGGACUCUGAAUUAGAGGACAAAACGGUCCGGAAGUGGGAAAAUUUUGUGGUGGUGGCUAUAAAUUGAUGGAAACGGUGGGAAGAAACACACAAAUUGGACUCUAACAAGACCUAACCAGUAACAAGAUCUCGACCAGGACACAAACUCAACACUACAGACUCUGAAACUGAAAUAUGCAAAGGCUAUGGCGCGGAUGGGUUGUAGGACAUGAAAACAAUAUAGCACUAGACUUAUGGGACGAACACAAGGACACUCGAAACUAAGUAUAGAUGUGAACCUAACGGUACGUCUGAAGCUUUGAUUAACACUUGAGGAGAACAAGUGUGGCCCGAUCUUCCGAAAGGUUCUAGUAACUAUCAAUUUGGUGGAAACGAGACCCAAAUCAAUCCAUCUUGCGAACAACGCGGUUCGAAACCCUGCAAUUCUUUUUAUUUUUUUUGAUAUUUUUCUUUUACUUAGGAGCACUCAAGAAGUAACCAUAGGAAACUUCAGCUUAAACAAGUGAAAGACUUGGCCUGUGGAAUUUUUUGAAGAUUGCGAAAAAUAUAAAAAAACUUUAGGAGGUGAAAACUCAAACUUUAGGAGCGAAUUUGGGGAUUCUAAAAUUAUUGAACCCACCUCUAGCGGAGAUAGACAGAUCUAAAAAUUUGUUGUGAUCGAUUUUGAUAUAUGGAACGUCAAUAUCGGAGUUCAUAUGCGAAAGUUAUGGCUGUUUUACGAACGGACUCCAAAUUAGAGGACAAACGGAAGUGGGAAAAAUUUGUGGUGGUGGCUAGAAAUUGAUGGAAACGGUGGGAAAAAACACACAAACUGGACUCUAACAAGACCAAAUCAGUAACAAGACCUCGACCAGGACAGAAACUCAACACUACGGACUCUGAAACUGAAAUAUGCAAAGGUUAUGGCGCGGAUGGGUUGUAGGACAUGAAAACAAUUUGGCACUAGACUUAUGGGAGGAACACAAGGACACUCGAAACUAAGGGUAGAUGUGAACCUAACAGUACGUCUGAAGCUUUGAUUACCACUUGAGGAGAACAAGGCCCGAUCUUCCGAAAGCUUCCGGUAACUAUCGAUUUGGUGGAAACGGGACACAAAUCAAUCCAGUUUGCGAACAACACGAUUCGAAACCCUGCAAUUCUUUUUUUUGAUAUUUUUCUUUUACUUAAGAGCACUGAAGAAGUAACCACAAGAAAUUUGAGCUUAAACAAGUGAACGACGUGGCCUGUGGAAUUUUUUGAAGAUUGCGAAAAAUAUGAAAAUAAAGUUUAGGAGGUGAAAACUCAAAUUUUCAGAGGCGAGUUUGGGAAUUCUAAAUUCGUCGCACCCGCCUAUGGCUGGGAUAGACAGAUCCAAAAUUUUUUCUGAUCGAUUUUGAUAUAUGGAACGUCAAAAUCGGAGUUCGUAGGCGAAAGUUAUGGCUGUUUUACGAACGGACUACGAAUUAGGGGACAAAACAGUCCGGAAGUAGGAAAAUUUUGCGGUGGUGGCUAUAAAUUGAUGGAAAGGGUGGGAAGAAACACACAAAUUGGACUCUAACAAGAUCUAACCAGUAACAUGAUCUCGACUAGGACACAAACUCAACACUACGGGCUCUGAAACUGAAAUAUGCAAAGGCUGUGGCGCGGAUGGGGUGUAGGACAUGAAAACAAUAUAGCACUAGGCUUAUGGGACGAACACAAGGACACUCGAAACUAAGGAUAGAUAUGAACCUAACGGUACGUCUGGAGCUUUGAUUAACACUUGAGGAGAACAAGUGUGGCCCGAUCUUCCGAAAGGUUCUAGUAACUAUCAGUUUUGUGGAAACGAGACCCAAAUCAAUCCAUCUUGCGAACAACACGGUUCGAAACUAUGCAAUUUUUUUUUUGAUAUUUUUCUUUUACUUAGGAGCACUCAAGAAGUAACCAUAGGAAAUUUGAGCUUAAACAAGUGAAAGACUUGGCCUGUGAAAUUUUUUGAAGAUUACGAAGAAUAUAAAAAAACUUUAGGAGGUGAAAACUCAAACUUCAGGGGCGAAUUUGGGGAUUCUAAAAUUAUCGAACCCACCUCUAGCAAAGAUAGACAGAUCCAAAAAUUUGUUCUGAUCGAUUUUGAUAUAUGGAACGUCAAUAUCGGAGUUCCUAUGCGAAAGUUAUGGCUGUUUUACGAACGGACUCUGAAUUAGAGGACAAAACGGUCCGGAAGUGGGAAAAUUUUACGGUGGUGGCUAUAAAUUGAUGGAAACGGUGGGAAGAAACACACAAAUUGGACUCUAACAAGACCUAACCAGUAACACUGAAACUGAAAUAUGUAAAGGCUAUGGCGCGGAUGGGUUGUAGGACAUGAAAACAAUAUAGCACUAGACUUAUGGGACGGACAUAAGGACACUCGAAACUAAGGAUAGAUAUGAACCUAACGGUACGUCUGAAGCUUUGAUUAACACUUGAGGAGAACAAGUGUGGCCCGAUCUUCCGAAAGGUUCUAGUAACUAUCAAUUUGGUGGAAACGAGACCCAAAUCAAUCCAUCUUGCGAACAACGCGAUUCGAAACCCUGCAAUUCUUUUUAUUUUUUUUGAUAUUUUUCUUUUACUUAGGAGCACUCAAGAAGUAACCAUAGGAAAUUUGAGCUUAAACAAGUGAAGGACGUGGCCUGUGGAAUUUUUUGAAGAUUGCGAAAAAUAUAAAAAAACUUUAGGAGGUGAAGACUCAAACUUCAGGGGCGAAUUUGGGGAUUCUAAAAUUAUCGAACCCACCUCUAGCAGAGAUAGACAGAUCCAAAAAUUUGUUCUGAUCGAUUUUGAUAUAUGGAACGUCAAUAUCGGAGUUCGUAUGCGAAAGUUAUGACUGUUUUACGAACGGACUCCGAAUUAGAGGACAAAACGGUCCGGAAGUGGGAAAAAUUUGUGGUGGUGGCUAGAAAUUGAUGGAAACGGUGGGAAAAAACACACAAACUGGACUCUAACAAGACCAAAUCAGUAACAAGACCUCGACCAGGACACAAACUCAACACUACGGAAUCUGAAACUGAAAUAUGCAAAGGUUAUGGCGCGGAUGGGUUGUAGGACAUGAAAACAAUUUGGCACUAGACUUAUGGGAGGAACACAAGGACACUCGAAACUAAGGGUAGAUGUGAACCUAACAGUACGUCUGAAGCUUUGAUUACCACUUGAGGAGAACAAGGCCCGAUCUUCCGAAAGGUUCUUUUAACUAUCGAUUUCGUGGAAACGAGACACAAAUCAAUCCAGUUUGCGAACAACACGAUUCGAAACCCUACAAUUCUUUUUUUUGAUAUUUUUCUUUUACUUAGGAGCACUGAAGAAGUAACCACAAGAAAUUUGAGCUUAAACAAGUGAAGGACGUGGCCUGUGGAAUUUUUUGAAGAUUGCGAAAAAUAUGAAAAUAAAGUUUAGGAGGUGAAAACUCAAAUUUUCAGAGGCGAGUUUGGGAAUUCUAAAUUCGUCGCACCCGCCAAUGGCUGGGAUAGAUAGAUCCAAAAAUUUUUCUGAUCGAUUUUGAUAUAUGGAACGUCAAAAUCGGAGUUCGUAGGCGAAAGUUAUGGCUGUUUUACGAACGGACUCCGAAUUAGGGGACAAAACAGUCCGGAAGUGGGAAAAUUUUGCGGUGGUGGCUAUAAAUUGAUGGAAAGGGUGGGAAGAAACACACAAAUUGGACUCUAACAAGACCUAACCAGUAACAAGAUCUCGACCAGGUCACAAACUCAACACUACGGACUCUGAAACUGAAAUAUGCAAAGGCUAUGGCGCGGAUGGGUUGUAGGACAUGAAAACAAUAUAGCACUAGACUUAUGGGACGAACACAAGGACACUCGAAACUAAGGAUAGAUAUGAACCUAACGGUACGUCUGAAGCUUUGAUUAACAUUUGAGGAGAACAAGUGUGGCCCGAUCUUCCGAAAGGUUCUAGUAACUAUCAAUUUUGUGGAAACGAGACCCAAAUCAAUCCAUCUUGCGAACAACACGGUUCGAAACUAUGCAAUUUUUUUUUUGAUAUUUUUCUUUUACUUAGGAGCACUCAAGAAGUAACCAUAGGAAAUUUGAGCUUAAACAAGUGAAAGACUUGGCCUGUGAAAUUUUUUGAAGAUUACGAAGAAUAUAAAAAAACUUUAGGAGGUGAAAACUCAAACUUCAGGGGCGAAUUUGGGGAUUCUAAAAUUAUCGAACCCACCUCUAGCAAAGAUAGACAGAUCCAAAAAUUUGUUCUGAUCGAUUUUGAUAUAUGGAACGUCAAUAUCGGAGUUCCUAUGCGAAAGUUAUGGCUGUUUUACGAACGGACUCUGAAUUAGAGGACAAAACGGUCCGGAAGUGGGAAAAUUUUACGGUGGUGGCUAUAAAUUGAUGGAAACGGUGGGAAAAAACACACAAACUGGACUCUAACAAGACCAAAUCAGUAACAAGACCUCGACCAGGACACAAACUCAACACUACGGACUCUGAAACUGAAAUAUGCAAAGGUUAUGGCGCGGAUGGGUUGUAGGACAUGAAAACAAUUUGGCACUAGACUUAUGGGACGAACACAAGGACACUCGAAACUAAGGGUAGAUGUCAACCUAACGGUACGUCUGAAGCUUUGAUUACCACUUGAGGAGAACAAGGCCCGAUCUUCCGAAAGGUUCUGGUAACUAUCGAUUUGGUGGAAACGAGACACAAAUCAAUCCAGUUUGCGAACAACACGAUUCGAAACCUUGCAAUUCUUUUUUUUUUGAUAUUUUUCCUUUUACUUAGGAGCACUGAAGAAGUAACCACAAGAAAUUUGAGCUUAAACAAGUGAAGGACGUGGCCUGUGGAAUUUUUUGAAGAUUGCGAAAAAUAUGAAAAUAAAGUUUAGGAGGUGAAAACUCAAAUUUUCAGAGGCGAGUUUAGGAAUUCUAAAUUUGUCGCACCCGCCUAUGGCAGGGAUAGACAGAUCCAAAAAUUUUUCUGAUCGAUUUUGAUAUAUGGAACGUCAAAAUCGGAGUUCGUAGGCGAAAGUUAUGGCUCUUUUACGAACGGACUCAGAAUUAGAGGACAAAACGGUCCGGAAGUGGGAAAAAUUUGCGGUGGCGGCUAGAAAUUGAUGGAAACGGUGGGAAAAACACACAAACUGGACUCUAACAAGACCAAAUUAGUAACAAGACCUCGACCAGGACACAAACUCAACACUACGGACUAUGAAACGGAAAUAUGCAAAGGUUAUGGCGCGGAUGGGUUGUAGGACAUGAAAACAAUUUGGCACUAGACUUAUGGGACGAACACAAGGACACUCGAAACUAAGGGUAGAUGUGAACCUAACGGUACGUCUGAAGCUUUGAUUACCACUUGAGGAGAACAAGGCCCGAUCUUCCGAAAGGGUCUGGUAACUAUCGAUUUGGUGGAAACGAGACACAAAUUAAUCCAGUUUGCGAACAACACGAUUCGAAACCCGGCAAUUCUUUUUAUUUUUUUUGAUAUUUUUCUUUUACUUAGGAGCACUCAAGAAGUAACCACAAGAAAUUUGAGCUUAAACAAGUGAAGGACGUGGCCUGUGGAAUUUUUUGAAGAUUGCGAAAAAUAUGAAAAUAAAGUUUAGGAGGUGAAAACUCAAAUUUUUCAGAGGCGAGUUUGGGAAUUCUAAAUUUGUCGCACCCGCCUAUGGUGGGGAUAGACAGAUCCAAAAAAUUUUCUGAUCGAUUUUGAUAUAUGGAACGUCAAAAUCAGAGUUCGUAGGCCAAAGUUAUGGCUGUUUUACGAACGGACUCUGAAUUAGAGGACAAAACGGUCCGGAAGUGGGAAAAUUUUACGGUGGUGGCUAUAAAUUGAUGGAAACGGUGGGAAGAAACACACAAAUUGGACUCUAACAAGACCUAACCAGUAACAAGAUCUCGACCAGGACACAAACUCAACACUACGGACUCUGAAACUGAAAUAUGCAAAGGCUAUGGCGCGGAUGGGUUGUAGGACAUGAAAACAAUAUAGCACUAGACUUAUGGGACGAACACAAGGACACUCGAAACUAAGGAUAGAUAUGAACCUAACGGUACGUCUGAAGCUUUGAUUAACACUUGAGGAGAACAAGUAUGGCCCGAUCUUCCGAAACGUUCUAGUAACUAUCAAUUUGGUGGAAACGAGACCCAAAUCAAUCCAUCUUGCGAACAACGCGGUUCGAAACCCUGCAAAUCUUUUUAUUUAUUUUUUUUGAUAUUUUUAUUUUACUUAGGAGCACUCAAGAAGUAACCAUAGAAAUUUUGAGCUUAAACAAGUGAAAGACUUGGCCUGUGGAAUUUUUUGAAGAUUGCGAAAAAUAAAAAAAACUUUAGGAGGUGAAAACUCAAAUUUCAGGGGCGAAUUUGGGGAUUCUAAAAUUAUCGAACCCACCUCUAGCGGAGAUAGACAGAUCCAAAAAUUUGUUCUGAUCGAUUAUGAUAUAUGGAACGUCAAUAUCGGAGUUCGUAUGCGAAAGUUAUGACUGUUUUACGAACGGACUCCGAAUUAGAGGACAAAACGGUCCGGAAGUGGGAAAAAUUUGUGGUGGUGGCUAGAAAUUGAUGGAAACGGUGGGAAAAAACACACAAACUGGACUCUAACAAGACCAAAUCAGUAACAAGACCUCGACCAGGACACAAACUCAACACUACGGAAUCUGAAACUGAAAUAUGCAAAGGUUAUGGCGCGGAUGGGUUGUAGGACAUGAAAACAAUUUGGCACUAGACUUAUGGGAGGAACACAAGGACACUCGAAACUAAGGGUAGAUGUGAACCUAACAGUACGUCUGAAGCUUUGAUUACCACUUGAGGAGAACAAGGCCCGAUCUUCCGAAAGGUUCUUUUAACUAUCGAUUUCGUGGAAACGAGACACAAAUCAAUCCAGUUUGCGAACAACACGAUUCGAAACCCUACAAUUCUUUUUUUUGAUAUUUUUCUUUUACUUAGGAGCACUGAAGAAGUAACCACAAGAAAUUUGAGCUUAAACAAGUGAAGGACGUGGCCUGUGGAAUUUUUUGAAGAUUGCGAAAAAUAUGAAAAUAAAGUUUAGGAGGUGAAAACUCAAAUUUUCAGAGGCGAGUUUGGGAAUUCUAAAUUCGUCGCACCCGCCAAUGGCUGGGAUAGAUAGAUCCAAAAAUUUUUCUGAUCGAUUUUGAUAUAUGGAACGUCAAAAUCGGAGUUCGUAGGCGAAAGUUAUGGCUGUUUUACGAACGGACUCCGAAUUAGGGGACAAAACAGUCCGGAAGUGGGAAAAUUUUGCGGUGGUGGCUAUAAAUUGAUGGAAAGGGUGGGAAGAAACACACAAAUUGGACUCUAACAAGACCUAACCAGUAACAAGAUCUCGACCAGGUCACAAACUCAACACUACGGACUCUGAAACUGAAAUAUGCAAAGGCUAUGGCGCGGAUGGGUUGUAGGACAUGAAAACAAUAUAGCACUAGACUUAUGGGACGAACACAAGGACACUCGAAACUAAGGAUAGAUAUGAACCUAACGGUACGUCUGAAGCUUUGAUUAACACUUGAGGAGAACAAGUAUGGCCCGAUCUUCCGAAACGUUCUAGUAACUAUCAAUUUGGUGGAAACGAGACCCAAAUCAAUCCAUCUUGCGAACAACGCGGUUCGAAACCCUGCAAAUCUUUUUAUUUAUUUUUUCUGAUAUUUUUAUUUUACUUAGGAGCACUCAAGAAGUAACCAUAGAAAUUUUGAGCUUAAACAAGUGAAAGACUUGGCCUGUGGAAUUUUUUGAAGAUUGCGAAAAAUAAAAAAAACUUUAGGAGGUGAAAACUCAAAUUUCAGGGGCGAAUUUGGGGAUUCUAAAAUUAUCGAACCCACCUCUAGCGGAGAUAGACAGAUCCAAAAAUUUGUUCUGAUCGAUUAUGAUAUAUGGAACGUCAAAAUCGGAAUUCGUAUGCGACAGUUAUGGCUGUUUUACGAACGGACUCCGAAUUAGAGGACAAACAGUCCGGAAGUGGGAAACAUUUGCGGCGGUGCCUAUAAAUUGAUGGAAACGGUGGGAAGAAACACACAAAUUUGACUCUAACAAGACCUAGCCAGUAACACUGAAACUGAAAUAUGCAAAGGUUAUGGCGCGGAUGGGUUGUAGGACAUGAAAACAAUAUAGCACUAGACUUAUGGGAUGAACAUAAAGACACUCGAAACUAAGGAUAGAUAUGAACCUAACGGUACGUCUGAAGCUUUGAUUAACACUUGAGGAGAACAAGUGUGGCCCGAUCUUCCGAAAGGUUCUAGUAACUAUCAAUUUGGUGGAAACGAGACCCAAAUCAAUCCAUCUUGCGAACAACGCGGUUCGAAACCCUGCAAUUCUAUUUUUUUUUUGAUAUUUGUCUUUUACUUAGGAGCACUCAAGAAGUAACCAUAGGAAAUUUGAGCUUAAACAAGUGAAAGACUUGGCCUGUGGAAUUUUUUUAAGAUUGUGAAAAAUAUAAAAAAACUUUAGGAGAUGAAAACUCAAACUUCAGGGGCGAAUUUGGGGAUUCUAAAAUUAUCGAACCCACCUCUAGUGGAGAUAGACAGAUCCAAAAAUUUGUUCUGAUCGAUUUUGAUAUAUGGAACGUCAAUAUCGGAGUUCGUAUGCGAAAGUUAUGGCUGUUUUACGAACGGACUCCGAAUUAGAGGACAAAACGGUCCGGAAGUGGGAAAAAUUUGUGGUGGUGGCUAGAAAUUAAUGGAAACGGUGGGAAAAAACACACAAACUGGACUCUAACAAGACCAAAUCAGUAACAAGACCUCGACCAGGACACAAACUCAACACUACGGACUCUAAAACUGAAAUAUGCAAAGGUUAUGGCGCGGAUGGGUUGUAGGACAUGAAAACAAUUUGGCACUAGACUUAUGGGACGAACACAAGGACACUCGAAACUAAGGAUAGAUGUGAACCUAACGGUACGUCUGAAGCUUUGAUUACCACAUGAGGAGAACAAGGCCCGAUCUUCCGAAAGGUUCUGGUAACUAUCGAUUUGGUGGAAACGAGACACAAAUCAAUCCAGUUUGCGAACAACACGAUUCGAAACCCUGCAAUUCUUUUUUUUGAUAUUUUUCUUUUACUUAGGAGCACUCAAGAAGUAACCACAGGAAAUUUGAGCUUGAACAAGUGAAGGACGUGGCCUGUGGAAUUUUUUGAAGAUUGCGAAAAUAUGAAAAGAAAGUUUAGGAGGUGAAAACUCAAAUUUUCAGAGGCGAGUUUAGGAAUUCUAAAUUUGUCGCACCUGCCUAUGGCGGGGAUAGACAGAUCCAAAAAUUUUUCUGAUCGAUUUUGAUAUAUGGAACGUCAAAAUCGGAGUUUGUAGGCGAAAGUUAUGGCUGUUUUAUGAACGGACUCUGAAUUAGAGGACAAAACGGUCCGGAAGUGGGAAAAAUUUGCGGUGGUGGCUAGAAAUUGAUGGAAACGGUGGGAAAAACACACAAACUGGACUCUAACAAGACCAAAUUAGUAACAAGACCUUGACCAGGACACAAACUCAACACUACGGACUAUGAAACUGAAAUAUGCAAAGGUUAUGGCGCGGAUGGGUUGUAGGACAUGAAAACAAUUUGGCACUAGACUUAUGGGACGAACACAAGGACACUCGAAACUAAGGGUAGAUGUGAACCUAAUGGUACGUCUGAAGCUUUGAUUACCACUUGAGGAGAACAAGGCCCGAUCUUGCGAAAGGUUCUGGUAACUAUCGAUUUGGUGGAAACGAGACACAAAUUAAUCCAGUUUGCGAACAACACGAUUCGAAACCCUACAAUUCUUUUUAUUUUUUUGAUAUUUUUAUUUUACUUAGGAGCACUCAAGAAGUAACCACAAGAAAUUUGAGCUUAAACAAGUGAAGGACGUGGCCUGUGGAAUUUUUUGAAGAUUGCGAAAAAUAUAAAAAUAAAGUUUAGGAGGUGAAAACUCAAAUUUUCAGAGGCGAGUUUGGGAAUUCUAAAUUUGUCGCACCCGCCUAUGGUGGGGAUAGACAGAUCCAAAAAUUUUUCUGAUCAAUUUUGAUAUAUGGAACGUUAAAAUCAGUGUUCGUAGGCGAAAGUUAUGGCUGUUUUACGAACGGACUCUGAAUUAGAGGACAAAACGGUCCGGAAGUGGGAAAAAUUUGCGGUGGUGGCUAGAAAUUGAUGGAAACGGUGGGAAAAACACACAAACUGGACUCUAACAAGACCAAAUUAGUAACAAGACCUCGACCAGGACACAAACUCAACACUACGGACUAUGAAACUGAAAUAUGCAAAGGUUAUGGAGCGGAUGGGUUGUAGGACAUGAAAACAAUUUGGCACUAGACUUAUGGGACGAACACAAGGACACUCGAAACUAAGGGUAGAUGUGAACCUAACGGUGCGUCUGAAGCUUUGAUUACCACUUGAGGAGAACAAGGCCCGAUCUUCCGAAAGGUUUUGGUAACUAUCGAUUUGGUGGAAACAAGACACAAAUUAAUCCAGUUUGCGAACAACACGAUUAGAAACCCUGCAAUUCUUUUUAUUUUUUUUAUUUGAUAUUUUUGUUUUACUUAGGAGCACCGAACAAGUAGCCACAGGAAAUUUGAGCUUAAACAAGUGAAAGACGUUGCCUGUGGAAUUUUUUUAGAUUGCGAAAAAUAUGAAAAUAAACUUUAGGAGGUGAAAACUCAAAUUUAAAGGC
rnacentral:lncRNA from 1 species